UGACGCCCCUGCUCUGCUUGCCUCUGGCUACACAAGUGAUCGUACCAUUGCUACAUGGGCUACGAAUUACAUCAGUGUUUGAGUACAUUCGUUGGCGCUUCAACAGAGCCAUUUCCCUGACGGCGUGUGUCAUCUACAUUUUUCUUACGCAAAGUAUUGGCGCCAUCUCUAUUUUGGCAGCAUCAAUGAUGCUGGUC
rnacentral:lncRNA from 1 species